rnacentral:lncRNA from 1 species
GCUCUGUUUGUUGUUGUUUGUUUUAGUUUGGUUCUGUUUUUUUGCCAUCCCCGUAGCAUGAAGAAGUUCCUGGGCCAGGGAUCAAACCUGAGCCACAGCAGUGACGACGCCUGAUCCUUAACCUGCUGCACCACUAGGGAACUCUUCAACUUGCUCUUUUCUAAAAGCAGUACAUCUUGGAAAUCUUGACAGUCAGACCCUCUAGAUCUGGGAGACCCCCUUUCCCUCCAGAGAACCAGGAGGAAGCUGAGGGGCAGAGCUGCCGGCACCUGGGACAAGGUAAGGAAGGAGUGCCUGGCAGGGUUGGGACAGCCCCUCCCUCCUUCCCCGUCCCCCUUCUCAUCAGCAUCUCGACACCCACCCUGGAGAGCUGAGUCUCACUGCGUGUGUGAGUGGUGAGGCUGGAUGAAGAGGGUGGGUGCGUGGGCGUGUCCAGGGCUGUGCUGCUGACCCCACCUCCCCCCACUGUCCAUACUUAGAGCCAGCGGCCACGGCCAGUAUAAUUAGUUCAUAAAUCACUCCGAGUGAUAAAUAGAAUGAUAGAUGCAGGUUUCACUUGAUCACUUUUUUAUUAAGGAGAAAUAAAUCAACACCACAUUGUUGCUAUAAACCUUUC